rnacentral:rRNA from 1 species
AGUUCGAUUAUGGCUCAGAUGAACGCUGGCGGGACCUUUGCUGAAGUCGAACGUGGCACGGACUUCGGUCUGGUGGCGAAGUGAACGGGUGGUGGGCUAUCCCGGAACGUGCCUAGUAGCGGGGGAUAACUGCGAAAGCGUAGCUAAUACCAUACGCCGCCAGGGAAAGCGGGGACCUUCGGGCUCGCACUAUUAGAGCGGCCGAUAUCGGAUUAGCUAGUUGGUGGGGUAACGGCUCACAAAGGCGACGAUCCGUGACUGGUUUGAGAGGACGACCAGCUUGCUGGACUGAGACACGGCCAGACUCCUGGGAGGCGAUGGAAUUUUGGACGAUGGGGGAAACCCUGAUCCAGCCAUCCCGCGUGCGAUGGAAGGCCUUCCGGGUUGUAAAACGCCUUGGCGGAAAAAACGGCCUGGAUAAUACCCGUGCAACUGACGAUACUGCAGAAUAAGCACCGGCUAACUACGUAGCAAAAACGCGGUAAUACGUAAGGUGCAAGCGUUAAUCGGAAUUACUGGGCGUAAAGCGUGCGCAGGCGGUUCGGAAAGAAAGAUGUGAAAUCCCAGAGCUUAACUUUGGAACUGCAUUUUAACUACCGAGCUGCAGAGGGUGUGUCAGAGGGAGGUGGAAUUCCGCGUGUAGCAGUGAAAUGCGUAGAUAUGCGGAGGAACACCAUUGGCGAAGGCAGCCUCUGGGAUAACACUGACGCUCAUGUACACGAAAGCGUGGGGAGCAAACGGGAUUAGAUACCCUGGUAGUCCACGCCCCCAAACGAUGUCCAACUAGCUGUUGGGGCCUUCGGAGCGCUGGUAGCGCAGCUAACGCGUGAAGUUGACCGCCUGGGAAGUACGGUCGCAAGAUUAAAACUCGAGGAAUUGACGGGGACCCGCACAAGCGGUGGAUGAUGUGGAUUAAUUCGAUGCAACGCGAAAAACCUUACCUACCCUUGACAUGUCUGGAAUCCCGAAAGAGAUUUGGGAGUGCUCGCAAGAGAACCGGAACACAGGUGCUGCAUGGCUGUCGUCAGCUCGUGUCGUGAGAUGUUGGGUUAAGUCCCGCAACGAGCGCAACCCUUGUCAUUAGUUGCUACGAAAGGAGCCCUCCCUAAUACAGGACUGCCGGUGACAAACCGGAGGAAGGUGGGGAUGACGUCAGAGUCCUCAUGGCCCUUAUGGGUAGGGCUUCGCACACGUCAUACAAUGGUCGGGACAGAGGGUCGCCAACCCGCGAGGAGCCAAUCCCAGGAAACCCGAUCGUAGUCCGGAUCUGAUCUGCAACUCUGGCUGCGUGAUCGGAAUCGCUAGUAAUCGCGGAUCAACAUGUCGCGGUGAAUACGUUCCCGGGUCUUUAUACACACCGCCCGUCACACCAUGGGAGUGGGUUUUGUACCAGAAGUAGUUAGCCCUAACCGUAAGGAGGCGAUUACCACGGUAGGAUUCGCUGACUGGGGUGAAGUCGUAGCAAGGUAA